GUGCUCGCUUCAGCAGCACAUAUACUAAAAUCGGAAUGAUACUGAGAAGAUUAGCAUGGCCCCUGCACAAGGAUGACCUGCAAGUUCAUGAAGGGUUCAGAGCAGUU